rnacentral:rRNA from 1 species
AUUGAACGCUGGCGGCAUGCCUUACACAUGCAAGUCGAACGGCAGCACGGGAGCAAUCCUGGUGGCGAGUGGCGAACGGGUGAGUAAUAUAUCGGAACGUGCCCAGUCGUGGGGGAUAACGUAGCGAAAGCUACGCUAAUACCGCAUACGAUCUAUGGCUGAAAGCGGGGGAUCGCAAGACCUCGCGCGAUUGGACUGGCAGAUAUCAGAUUAGGUAGUUGGUGAGGUAAAAGCUCACCAAGCCGACGAUCUGUAGCUGGUCUGAGAGGACGACCAGCCACACUGGGACUGAGACACGGCCCAGACUCCUACGGGAGGCAGCAGUGGGGAAUUUUGGACAAUGGGCGCAAGCCUGAUCCAGCAAUGCCGCGUGCAGGAUGAAGGCCUUCGGGUUGUAAACUGCUUUUGUACGGAACGAAACGGUGAGCUCUAAUACAGUUUGCUAAUGACGGUACCGUAAGAAUAAGCACCGGCUAACUACGUGCCAGCCGCCGCGGUAA